AACCUAAAACAGAAACAAAUUAAACAUCUUGCAGCACAAUUGUCUGUUGAACAGCAGCUCUACUCUAAAGAAAUUACUGAGGCUUGUGUUUGCUCCGAUCAAGCCAGAAGAGCUGAAGCAUUCCAAAGUAAGAUCCUGGAUUGCAUUAAAUGCUACCUGGCCUGUGCACCUUUAUCGCUGAAGGCGUUCGAGUUAAUGUUGUUCAAAACAAGUUGGCACCUGUUAAAGCACUGCUUUCCAAUCAAACGCUUUACCUUUAAAAAGAACUUCACGAAUGAGUUCCUGCUGUCACGUCUUGCAUGGACAGCAAAAACUUUGUCUUCGGCAAGAAGUGGAUAAUCAUUGGGCUUUGAGAGAUUCUCUUCACGCCUGAUUUGCAAAAAUUACCCCACAACGACGAAUAAUUGCAAGACUCGUGUCGCGGUUGUUCUGUUGAGCGCUGGGCAACGACAAAAUGCCAUUGGCGUCAUUUUACCACGCCCUCGUUGGAUCAUCCAAAUUGGGAACGGAAUUGAUCAAAGCCUUCAUUAUUCCGAAAAUACGAACGAUAUAGGUGGACGCAUCGAACUUUACUUGGAUGGAACAGGGCAGGCCAAUGCCGAUCGGAUAGCAGCCUCCCACAUCAAGCAAUUGACGAUCUCAUGAAAGUGACGCGCCAAUCGCCUGAUAACAUUGACGAUUACCGUCAGGAGUUCGGGUAACUUGGGCCGGCUCUUCACGGUGCCGUAAAUAGAGCCCGAUCUCAGAACACAACUUCGGCGGCGUCGUCUACUGGCAUUUCAUCAGCUGCAUGAUCACUGUUGUAAUUUUCUAAUCCAAAUGUGCUAGCCGACAACCUCCGAUCGCUGCGUCAUACAGUUUUCGUCGACGAUUUGGAUGUCACUUUGUCAGAAGAAGAGGAUGUGAAUCAGGUGGCCCAGGAAGUGUCCCAUUUGUUGACUAAACAAUAUUUUUACCGCUCCGACAACAGAAACACGAAGAUAACGUUUCGCUUUUAUUUUUAGGACUACUUGUCAAAAUUUUUGGCGAGGAUCUCUGCACUGACGUCUUAAAAACUACUAUUUCAUGCUUAACGGACCCUCUACUUAAUCGCGACCUUGUUUUAAUGUUACUCGAUUUCGUCUUUUUGCAAAUCCUCCCAAUAUGUGCUUUCCAACAUAUGUGUUGUUUGUCGAAGCUUGUGUACUGAAAUCUUGAAUUGAACUCAAUGUUUCGAAACGUUAGUUGACAUGCCGCUGCAAGAUUUCGGUUAGGGGAAAAACAUUCAUUCUAAACUGAAUGAAAGCAGACCUGAAAAAUUCAGAAGCACACGGUUCAACCUCGCCAGCAUGAUAUAUUACUUUUAAUUCGGAUAAACGCCUGUGUAACCGACGAGAAAUACAAUUCU